rnacentral:rRNA from 1 species
CCUACGGGAGGCAGCAGUGAGGAAUAUUGGUCAAUGGACGCAAGUCUGAACCCGCCAUGCCGCGUGCAGGAAGACGGCUCUAUGAGUUGUAAACUGCUUUUGUACGAGGGUAAACGCAGAUACGCGUAUCUGUCUGAAAGUAUCGUACGAAUAAGGAUCGGCUAACUCCGUGCCAGCAGCCGCGGUAAUACGGAGGGUUCAAGCGUUAUCCGGAUUUAAGGGGUUUAAAGGGUGCGUAGGCGGUCGGAUAAGUUAGAGGUGAAAUCCCGAGGCUCAACUUCUGAAUUGCCUCUGAUACUGUUCGGCUAGAGAGUAGGUGCGGUAGGCGGAAUGUAUGGUGUAGCGGUGAAAUGCUUAGAGAUCAUACAGAACACCGAUUGCGAAGGCAGCUUACCAAGCUACUUCUGACGUUGAGGCACGAAAGCGUGGGGAGCAAACAGGAUUAGAUACCCCAGUAGUC